AAGGAAAAAUUCGAUCUUUAGUGGGUUAAUGACCGAAUUGGAGAAUUAAUUUUAAUUUCUUUUAAUACAUUAUAUGAAAAUGAAAUUGCAAUGCAUUUACCAUUGAUGAGACAUCUCGAAUUGAGGCCCACACAGGCAGAACAGUUUGAAAAGUUGAAGACUGACUCAGACUUGAAACCCAAGUUAAGGGGUGGGCUUUUUGACAAAUAGAACCGUAAGUUUCAAAGAGAAGCUUUUAAAUUUUCUUAAGCGAAUGGGGUAAGCAAUGCAAAAGCAAGCUUUUUGCAACAACUCCCCCUCCCUUAGCAGAUAUUAAGGGUUAAUUAUAGGUAUAGGUGUCCACCAAUAGUUGAGUUUUCCAAGAAAAUAGUAUCAAGCAAAUCAGAUGUUUGAGCUGUCACUGCCACCCCCAAAACCACCAAAUCUUUUCUUCUGUUAUGCUUGUUUGCUUCUUGUUACCUCUAGCUAACAAGCGUACUUUUGUUUCUCUGUUUUGCUUCAUUUUUGCUCUCCAAUGAGA
rnacentral:misc_RNA from 1 species